rnacentral:rRNA from 1 species
UUGAAGUAAAAAGUCGUAACAAGGUCUCCGUUGGUGAACCAGCGGAGGGAUCAUUACUGAGUUUACGCUCUACAACCCUUUGUGAACAUACCUAUAACUGUUGCUUCGGCGGGUAGGGUCUCCGCGACCCUCCCGGCCUCCCGCCUCCGGGCGGGUCGGCGCCCGCCGGAGGAUAACCAAACUCUGAUUUAACGACGUUUCUUCUGAGUGGUACAAGCAAAUAAUCAAAACUUUUAACAACGGAUCUCUUGGUUCUGGCAUCGAUGAAGAACGCAGCGAAAUGCGAUAAGUAAUGUGAAUUGCAGAAUUCAGUGAAUCAUCGAAUCUUUGAACGCACAUUGCGCCCGCCAGCAUUCUGGCGGGCAUGCCUGUUCGAGCGUCAUUUCAACCCUCAAGCUCUGCUUGGUGUUGGGGCCCUACAGCCGAUGUAGGCCCUCAAAGGUAGUGGCGGACCCUCCCGGAGCCUCCUUUGCGUAGUAACUUUACGUCUCGCACUGGGAUCCGGAGGGACUCUUGCCGUAAAACCCCCCAAUUUUCCAAAGGUUGACCUCGGAUCA